AUGACAAAUUGUGACCAGAUGCCACAACAGACUUGUCCAGUUAGCAAAGUCCUUCACCCAUCUAGUGGCUGGCCUAAUUGUACGUGGGAGUCCAGCACAAUACCACAGCCAAAACUCAUAUGAGGACUUUGGUGAUCUACAAGCAUGAGGUACACUAGGUGCUGUGCCUGCCCUUGAGCUGCGACCUUACUCUGUUCAUUUGUUUGGCUCUGCAGUCACAUUGUCCUAGUUUCAAAAACAACAUGGAUAGAAACCUUCAUCAGACUCCUUCCAAGAGCCAGUUUUGAAACUCCCCUCUCAACAAUCAGAAUACAGAACUGAAUUCCUGUAUAUUCCACAUGCUGUGGCUGAAUCCCUGUCCUCUUUCCUCCCCCUCACCCCAUUCAUUCAUAUGAGAGUAUCUGGAUUGCCUGGGUUUCUAAAGGUGGCUUUGUAGUUUAUCAGUAUGUACUCUCAGCCUUAAUUCUACCUUAGCAAACUUUUUGUCUAGGAAUUUCCCUUUAAUUUAUAUCAAUACACUUCUGAAACAGAACCUGAAAAACCCUUUCCUCUUUUUUCUACAUGUAACCUAGAAAUUAAGGAGCCAUUUGUGUUUCAUAUACAAUAUCUCUCUAUUGAAUUUACAAAAACCUGUGGAGAUUAAAACAGCACAGGAUACCUUUGAAGUGGGAAGCCUGAGUUUUGAACAGUUCAUUCAAUCUAGAGGAAAGAUUGAAAAAAGAACUAUGAAACUAAGAUUGAAAGGAGAACUACUGAAACGAGCAAGAGAGAAUGCUGAUAGUUUGCCCUUCUACAGUGCCAUCUCAGAACCUCAGAGCCUUUUACAUUGUUUAUUUCAACCUUUUGUGGUAAAUAUUGAGGCACAGGAAAGUGAAGUAACUGCUCCUACGCCACACAGAGAAUCAGGAGAAAAGCUAAGACUAGAACCCAGAAAUCCUGACUAAAAACCCCUUGCUGCAACCACUAGAUCCACCUCCCUUCUUCGCACAAAAGACCUAAAAAGUAACAGUACAUUUUUUUCCUUACAAUGUUAAAAAUAUCAUUUAUUAUUGUUUAUAUGUCCACUGCAAGGUCACCAUUAAUUAAAUGCAGCAGGAUUAAUUUGAGGAGGAAAAAUUCACUUUGCACUAAUGUGUACAUUUCUAGCUGGGGUUCCACAAAGCAGUUUCACAAUACCAAAAUCAGUGCUAACACCAGUAAAUUUAGCAGAACAUAGACAAUCAUUGAAACACAAAUGAGUACUAGCGGCCCCAGCUUACUAUAAAAUUAUGAGUAAUCCAUGUGUGGAGGAAGGCUCUCUAAGUCUAACAUUUUAGACUUAGGCUCUUCACCAGGGUAUUUAAAGAGGCAAAGGAUGAUCUUGUGGUUAACACUUGGGCCUGGGAAUCAGUCUACUUAUAUUCUUAGCCUGCCUCUGCUGCAGAC